GAUGAACGCUGGCGGCGUGCCUAAUACAUGCAAGUCGAACGAAACUUCUUUAUCACCGAGUGCUUGCACUCACCGAUAAAGAGUUGAGUGGCGAACGGGUGAGUAACACGUGGGCAACCUGCCCAAAAGAGGGGGAUAACACUUGGAAACAGGUGCUAAUACCGCAUAACCAUAGUUACCGCAUGGUAACUAUGUAAAAGGUGGCUAUACUACCGCUUUUGGAUGGGCCCGCGGCGCAUUAGCUAGUUGGUAGGGUAAAGGCUUACCAAGGCAAUGAUGCGUAGCCGAAUUGAGAGGUUGAUCGGCCACAUUGGGACUGAGACACGGCCCAAACUCCUACGGGAGGCAGCAGUAGGGAAUCUUCCACAAUGGGCGAAAGCCUGAUGGAGCAACGCCGCGUGGGUGAAGAAGGUCUUCGGAUCGUAAAACCCUGCUGUUAGAGAAGAAAGUGCGUGAGAGUAACUGUUCACGUUUCGACGGUAUCUAACCAGAAAGCCACUGCUAACUACGUG
rnacentral:rRNA from 1 species